UGCAGUCGAGCGGGCCUUUCGGGGUCAGCGGCGGACGGGUGAGUAACGCGUGGGAACGUGCCCUCUGGUUCGGAAUAACUCAGGGAAACUUGAGCUAAUACCGGAUACGCCCUUUUGGGGAAAGGCUUGCUGCCGGAGGAUCGGCCCGCGUCUGAUUAGCUAGUUGGUGAGGUAACGGCUCACCAAGGCGACGAUCAGUAGCUGGUCUGAGAGGAUGAUCAGCCACACUGGGACUGAGACACGGCCCAGACUCCUACGGGAGGCAGCAGUGGGGAAUAUUGGACAAUGGGCGCAAGCCUGAUCCAGCCAUGCCGCGUGAGUGAUGAAGGCCUUAGGGUUGUAAAGCUCUUUUAUCCGGGACGAUAAUGACGGUACCGGAGGAAUAAGCCCCGGCUAACUUCGUGCCAGCAGCCGCGGUAAUACGAAGGGGGCUAGCGUUGCUCGGAAUCACUGGGCGUAAAGGGCGCGUAGGCGGCGUUUUAAGUCGGGGGUGAAAGCCUGUGGCUCAACCACAGAAUGGCCUUCGAUACUGGGACGCUUGAGUAUGGUAGAGGUUGGUGGAACUGCGAGUGUAGAGGUGAAAUUCGUAGAUAUUCGCAAGAACACCGGUGGCGAAGGCGGCCAACUGG
rnacentral:rRNA from 1 species